UACGGAGGGUGCAAGCUAUAAUCCGAAUUACUGGGCGUAAAGCGCGCGGAGGUGGUUGGUUAAGUUGGAUGUGAAAGCCCCGGGCUCAACCUGGGAACUGCAUCCAAAACUGGCCGGCUAGAGCACGGUAGAGGGUGGUGGAAUUUCCUGUGUAGCGGUGAAAUGCGUAGAUAUAGGAAGGAACACCAGUGGCGAAGGCGACCACCUGGACUGAUACUGACACUGAGGUGCGAAAGCGUGGGGAGCAAACAGG
rnacentral:misc_RNA from 1 species